UCUAACCUUCAUACUUGACCCUGGUCAUGCCUGAUGUUGUCCACCCUGGGGACACAAGCAGGGACAGGCCUGGUGAGAACUUGAACAGGAGACUACUUCAGAAUACCAGGUACUGCAAGGG
rnacentral:rRNA from 12 species